AAAUGGUUGACCUCAUAUUUGUAAUCCAUGUUUAUAAAUUUACAAACUUGCAUGGCCCCUGCGCAAGGAUGACACGCAAAUUCGUGAAGCGUUCCAUAUUUUU